rnacentral:misc_RNA from 1 species
UACGGAGGGUGCAAGCAUUAAUCGGAUUUAUUGGGCGUAAAGGGGGCGUAGGCGGACGAGAAAGUCAGACGUGAAAUCCCAAAGCUUAACUUUGGAACUGCGUUUGAAACUACUUGUCUAGAGGAUAAACGGAGAAAAUGGAAUUCCGCAUGUAGCGGUGAAAUGCGUAGAUAUGCGGAAGAACACCGGUGGCGAAGGCGAUUUUCUAGUUUAUUCCUGACGCUAAGGCCCGAAAGCAAGGGGAGCGAACAGG